GACAGAGGGUGCAAACGUUGUUCGGAAUUACUGGGCGUAAAGCGCGUGUAGGCGGCUAAGUAAGUCGGGCGUGAAAUCCCACGGCUCAACCGUGGAAGUGCACUCGAAACUGCAUAGCUAGAGUCCUGGAGAGGAAGGUGGAAUGCUUGGUGUAGAGGUGAAAUUCGUAGAUAUCAAGCGGAACACCGGUGGCGAAGGCGGCCUUCUGGACAGUGACUGACGCUGAGACGCGAAAGCGUGGGAGCAACAGG
rnacentral:rRNA from 1 species